CUAAGCGUGCGAGUGUCCUGGUGAUCCCUUCGGGGUGAUCUUGUGGCGUGAGUGUGUGAACCGAUCAUGUAGUAGGCAAGCUGCGGAGGGACGCAGUGAGGUAGCUCAUCCCCGGUGAUGGUUGUCCGGGGCUAAGUGUGUGGACUGUCUGGUAGGUAAAUCCGCUGGGCGUGAAGGUUGAGGCAUGAUGGGGAGCCCACGGUUGUGGGUGAGUGAGUGAUCCUGUACUGUCGAGAAAAGCUUCGUGAGCGAGGUGGCGGGUCCGCCCGUACCCUAAACCGACACUGGUGGAUAGGUAGAGUAUACCGAGGCGAUCGAGUGAAUCGUGGUGAAGGAACUCGGCAAAAUGCCCCCGUAACUUUGGGAUAAGGGGGACCUGAGCUGUCGUGCACCCGUGCGGUGUGGUGGCGGUGAGGGGCGCAGAGUCCAGGGGGAAACGACUGUUUACCAAAAACACAGGUCCGUGCGAAGUCGUAAGACGAUGUAUACGGACUGACUCCUGCCCGGUGCUGGAAGGUUAAGGGGAACUGUGAGUGUAUGCGUAGCGGUGAACUUAAGCCCCAGUAAACGGCGGUGGUAACUAUAACCAUCCUAAGGUAGCGAAAUUCCUUGUCGGGUAAGUUCCGACCUGCACGAAUGGAGUAACGACUUCCCCGCUGUCUCAACCAUGAACUCGGCGAAAUUGCAGUACGAGUAAAGAUGCUCGUUACGCGCAGCAGGACGGAAAGACCCCGGGACCUUUACUAUAGUUUGGUAUUGGUGAUUGGGACGGUUUGUGUAGGAUAGGUGGGAGACGUUGAUGCGGCCACGCUAGUGGUGGUGGAGUCGUUGGUGAAAUACCACUCUGAUUGUUCUGGUUAUCUCACUGUGGACCGUGAUCCGGUUCAAGGACAGUGCCUGAUGGGUAGUUUGACUGGGGCGGUCGCCUCCUAAAGUGUAACGGAGGCGCCCAAAGGUUCCCUCAGCCUGGUUGGCAAUCAGGUGUUGAGUGUAAGUGCACAAGGGAGCUUGACUGUGAGACAGACAUGUCGAGCAGGGACGAAAGUCGGGACUAGUGAUCCGGCAGUGGCUUGUGGAAGCGCUGUCGCUCAACGGAUAAAAGGUACCUCGGGGAUAACAGGCUGAUCUUGCCCAAGAGUCCAUAUCGACGGCAUGGUUUGGCACCUCGAUGUCGGCUCGUCGCAUCCUGGGGCGGA
rnacentral:rRNA from 1 species